UAUCGCGUUAGUUGCGCCACUAAAAGAUCAAGUCUUCCAACGGCUAGUAGACAUCGUUUACGGCGUGGACUACCAGGGUAUCUAAUCCUGUUUGCUCCCCCACGCUUUCGCACCUCAGUGUCAGUAUUAGUCCAGGUGGCCGCCUUCGCCACUGAUGUUCCUUCCUAUAUCUACGCAUUUCACCGCUACACAGGAAAUUCCGCCACCCUCUACUAUACUCUAGUCAGACAGUUCUAACUGCAGUUCCCAGGUUGAGCCCGGGGCUUUCACAGCUAGCUUAUCAAACCACCUACGUGCGCUUUACGCCCAGUAAUUCCGAUUAACGCUCGCACCCUCCGUAUUACCGCGGCUGCUGGCACGGAGUUUGCCGGUGCUUCUUCUGUAGGUAACGUCACGGCACACAGUUAUUAACUAUAUGCUUUUCCUCCCUACUGAAAGUGCUUUACAACCCUAGAGCCUUCUUCACACACGCGGCAUGGCUGCAUCAGGCUUUCGCCCAUUGUGCAAUAUUCCCCACUGCUGCCUCCCGUAGGAGUCUGGGCCGUGUCUCAGUCCCAGUGUGGCUGAUCAUCCUCUCAGACCAGCUACGGAUCGUAGCCUUGGUGAGCCAUUACCCCACCAACUAGCUAAUCCGACUUGGGCUCAUCUGAUAGCGCAAGGCCCGAAGGUCCCCUGCUUUCUCCCGUAGGACGUAUGCGGUAUUAGCGUGCGUUUCCACACGUUGUCCCCCACUACUAGGUAGAUUCCCAAGCAUUACUCACCCGUCCGCCGCUCUACUCACACCGAAGUGCUUUCGCGCUCGACUUGCAUGUGUUAGGCCUGCCGCCAGCGUUCAAUCUGAGCCAGGAUCAAACUCU
rnacentral:rRNA from 1 species